rnacentral:rRNA from 1 species
UACGUAGGGUGCAAGCGUUGUCCGGAAUUAUUGGGCGUAAAGAGCUCGUAGGCGGUUCGUCGCGUCGGCUGUGAAAUCCCGGAGCUCAACUCCGGGUCUGCAGUCGAUACGGGCGGACUUGAGUACUGCAGGGGAGACUGGAAUUCCUGGUGUAGCGGUGAAACUGCGCAGAUAUCAGGAGGAACACCGGUGGCGAAGGCGGGUCUCUGGGCAGUAACUGACGCUGAGGAGCGAAAGCGUGGGGAGCGAACAGG